rnacentral:rRNA from 1 species
UUAUAGGUGGGGCUACGCACGUCAUACAAUGGCCGGUACAGAGGGUUGCCAACCCGCGAGGGGGAGCUAAUCCCACAAAGCCGAUCGUAGUCCGGAUCGCAGUCUGCAACUCGACUGCGUGAAGUCGGAAUCGCUAGUAAUCGUGGAUCAGCAUGUCACGGUGAAUACGUUCCCGGGUCUU